AGUGAACGCUGGCGGUAGGCCUAACACAUGCAAGUCGAACGGCAGCACAGUAAGAGCUUGCUCUUACGGGUGGCGAGUGGCGGACGGGUGAGGAAUACAUCGUAAUCUACUUUUUCGUGGGGGAUAACGUAGGGAAACUUACUCUAAUACCGCAUACGACCUACGGGUGAAAGCAGGGGAUCUUCUGACCUUGCGCGAUUGAAUGAGCCGAUGUCGGAUUAGCUAGUUGGCGGGGUAAAGGCCCACCAAGGCGACGAUCCGUAGCUGGUCUGAGAGGAUGAUAGGCCACACUGGAAGUGAGACACGGUCCAGACGACUGCGGGAGGCAGCAGUGGGGAAUAUUGGACAAUGGGGGCGAGCAUGAUACAGCCAUACCGCGUGGGUGAAGAAGACGUUGGGGUUGUAAAGCCCUUUUGUUGGGAAAGAAAAGCAGCAGGUUAAUACCACGCUGUUCUGACGGUACCCAAAGAAUAAGCACCGGCUAACUUCGUG
rnacentral:rRNA from 1 species